CCCUUAGAUGUUCUGGGCCGCACGCGCGCUACACUGAUGAAUGCAACGAGCUCUACCCUUGACCGAAAGGCCCGGGUAAACUUGUGAAACUUCAUCGUGAUGGGGAUAGAUUAUUGCAAUUAUUAGUCUUCAACGAGGAAUUCCUAGUAAGCGCGAGUCAUCAGCUCGCGUUGAUUACGUCCCUGCCCUCUGUACACACCGCCCGUCGCUCCUACCGAUUGAAUGAUCCGAUGAAUAUCAUGGAUUGAGGAUUAUAGCAGGUUCGCCUGUCUUGAUCUUCGAGAAGUGAAGUAAAUCUUAUCAUUUAGAGGAAGGAGAAGUCGUAACA
rnacentral:rRNA from 1 species